ACAGUGAAAUGGAGUAGAGGGUAGAGUACAUAAGCAAUUUCCUUUGUAUUAUGGUAAAUUCCAACUAUUUGAUAUACAAUUUAAAAGUGCUUUCAAGUUUAGUAGAAAUGAUAUUUCAUUUUAGUGGUUUUACUUUAGAGGCCAGUAAUUUAACAGAUCUUUACUUCGGUCUGAAUGAUGUUGCCUUUCAUGAAUAUUCUGUCAUCUGCCUGGAAAAAAAUAUAUUCCUACUUAGCACUCAUAAAACUUUUAUAUAAGACUGGCAUAAUGACAUGAAAUAUAGAAAGUUAAGGCUUGGCAUACAAAUAUUGUUGCUCAGUUUAGAUUAUUGUAUUUAUUUUGGAACAUCUGAUAGGACAACAAUUUUUUUUUAUUAUGUAGGUUGAAUAGGAGACACAAAGAAGAUGAAAUCCCUUUUGGUCACUGCUGGCAUUACUGCCUUUGUUCUGGCUUUGUUCCUCCAUUCAGGAAGUGCUUUAGUGUGCUACAAUUGUAAAUCUGCUAUGUGUAACAAAAAUAUGACCUGCAGAGCCGACCAAGAUACUUGCAUAAUACUACAGUACGGAAAAUAUCAGGAUGGAAGAAAGUUGACUUAAGAACAGGAUAUGCUAGAAGGACUCGGAUGUACUCAACUCAACAUGUCCCAACAGUGUCACGAAGCUGCAAAGAAAGCCAAGGACAUCUUGAGCUUCAAGAAGAACAUGGAGUCCAAAUCAGAAGAAGUGAUUUUCCCACUACUCUGCCUUGAUGAUAUCUCACUUGCGUUCUGUUUUUUUAUCUUUGAUUACCAAUAGCCUUUUAGGAGUAAAAAAUCAUGCCUUCUCAAUCUUUUUCCUAGUGUGCUGUGAUGUAUUUUACUUAAAAUAUAAUAACAAUUACUAAAUGUGCAUACAUAUUAUGCAUACUAGAUAUACUGUUUAACAAAAUAAAUUACAUUAAUGGGAAGCUUAUAUUACAGGGGGCACAGACUUGUAUUUAAAUGUGACAUGUUUGUAUUCUUUUUAAUAAAGAGAAACAGAAAUACAUAUCCCUUAAAUUCUGCCCCAGAGAUUCAUAUGCCUUAAGUUCCAUUGGGUUGUCUUAGUGGCAUCGUAUGUGCUUCAUUAAGUCACAUUUAAUUUUGAAAUUGUGCCCAAGAUAGAUCCUUAGCAACCCUUCAAAAGUACUGAUUAGCGUAUCCUUCUGCCUGAAAAAGUUUCCUUAUCCUGAGAAUUUCUUUUAAUCCAGAAAGUUCUGUUAGUAAUUCUGGCUGUGUGAGAUUUUAAAAGUUAGAUACAAAUUCUGAGGAAUUUGGUGUACAAAAGAUCAGCAUUUCCCUUUAAUAGCAGUUUAGCAUGCUGUACAGAGAUUGCCUACUAAGAAUCCUGCUCAUAAAGAACUAUUUGUCCAGCAAUUUAUCUUCCAUUAAAAAGAAAUAAUUUAUUUGCUCU